GGUCAGACUCACACACGGGCGACAUGCUGCUACUUGUGUCUCGUGGAGCGCCCACAUCGUCGGACACUUUCCACACUUGCCCACACACCACGACUGGAUGCGUGUACUGUCUUCUCAUCACAGUGUGUGCUUUGGUGUGUAUUGGCCAGAGGACAAAACACAGGAAGCUGUGAUGGAUUUGAUGCCUGUCUGAAGUGUGGAUAAAUCUGGAACAGAGUGGGAUGAAGAUAACAAGGGGACCGGAGCAAGGAGGAAGGAAGUUUUCCCGUGGUAUCACACAAGAGACUACUCUUCCACAGGAGGAAAAAUGAAGCGAAUAAAUAAAGAGAAAAUCGAAUUCCUUCAGCCGUUGCAGGAGUGCCAGCCAAUGAAUCAGCAGAAUAAAUUCUCUCCAGAGAUAAACAAACAUGAUAUUUCAGCCGGGAGCCAUAGGACGGAAGGGCCUCUGUCGCUCUCGUAAAGUUCAGAGCGCUUCGGACCGUAAAAGAAGCCGCCUUCUCAAUCAGGGAAGCCUCUGGCACGAAGGCCUUUUACAACUAAAGCUGUGUGAUGAAAACCCACGGAAAAGCUCACACGCAUGCCCUCGACAAGGACUUUAACGCCGCAGAUAUACGGCCUCAUAUGGAAAACCAUUAAAGUGGGAUUCUGAAGCACAAGUGUCUCCCAACACACUGUCAACACACUAAGUGCUUGUAGUCUUGAUUUACACAUCUGCGAGCUGCACCGUGUCCUGCGUGCUGUAAUAAUAAAAACAUGCAGCUGUAUCCUGAUAGAAAACAUGCCUUCAACUACGAAGCUUUUACUGGCUUGAUUUCCAGUUUUCUUUCAUUCGUAUUUGCAAACACCCAGCGGUGAUUUUAGUGUCUACGCUUCGGUGAUGGAACCCGCACGUCACUGUGAAUAGCGAGACGUUUGUGGUUUUUCUGUUGUCUCGCGGUAAUGAUAACAAGACAGUGUCAACAUUUAUGCUGUUGACUUUAAAGGUCAACGUCUUGUGCGUGUUCACUUGGCUUUUUCGCACCUUAGGGCAAAAAAAAAAAAAAAAGAGAGCCACUCAUGUGAAGUGAGACUUGAAAAGGAGGCUGGAGGGUGUGUAGAGUGAGCAUUUAAGGACUAUAUAUGGGGGGGGGAAACAAACAUGUCAGUUUACGUGUAUCGCUAAUUUAAAAGGGAUUAUCUCAAAGGGUAUUUCUGUUUGGAAUGUUCCUCAGCAUCUACACUACACUCAACAGCUAGACUGACAAUUUUGUGAAUUUAGCAAAAGAGAGCUGUAUCAGAUUUCUUGGCUGUCGAUUCGUCUCUGCCUAAUUUAUUGGAUUGUUUCCAAACAGACACCGAAACUCUUGCCUUGACAGGUUAAAUGGCUCCCGCAACUUAGAGACACAUUACUUUGGCACGGAGAGGGUAUGUUGGGAAAGCAUGGCAAACCGCAAAGCUGCUCCUUUCGUCAAGGAAACAACACAUAAUUGGUCUUGGCACUUGAACUGUUAGCACUGUAUAACACUUGUAUGAGGAUGUCAGCUAUCUUUGUAGAUAAAUGGAUUCCUGUGGAAAUAAAAA